CCUACGGGUGGCAGCAGUGGGGGAUAUUGCACAAUGGGGGAAACCCUGAUGCAGCGACGCCGCGUGUGGGAAGACGGUCCUCUGGAUUGCAAACCACUGUCCCCAGGGACGAAAAUGCCGGUACCUGGGGAGGAAGCUCCGGCUAACUACGUGCCAGCAGCCGCGGUAAUACGUAGGGAGCGAGCGUUGUCCGGAAGUACUGUGUGUAAAGGGAGCGUAGGCGGUGAUGCAAGUUGGGUGUCAAAACUACCGGCUCAACUGGUAGUCGCACUCAAAACUGCAGCUCUUGAGUGAAGUAGAGGCAGGCGGAAUUCCUAGGGUAGCGGUGAAAUGCGUAGAUAUUAGGAGGAACACCAGUGGCGAAGGCGGCCUGCUGGGCUUUUACUGACGCUGAGGCUCGAAAGUGUGGGGAGCAAACAGGAUUAGAUACCCUAGUAGUC
rnacentral:rRNA from 1 species